UACGUAGGUGGCAAGCGUUGUCCGGAUUUACUGGGCGUAAAGGGCGCGUAGGCGGCCUUCUAAGUCAGACGUGAAAUCCCCAGGCUUAACUUGGGAACUGCGUCUGAUACUGGGAGGCUUGAGUGCGGGAGAGGGAUGUGGAAUUCCAGGUGUAGCGGUGAAAUGCGUAGAUAUCUGGAGGAACACCGGUGGCGAAGGCGGCAUCCUGGACCGACACUGACGCUGAGGCGCGAAAGCCAGGGGAGCAAACGGG
rnacentral:rRNA from 1 species